GUGGGGAAUUUUGGACAAUGGGCGCAAGCCUGAUCCAGCGACGCCGCGUGGAGGACGAAGGCCUUCGGGUUGUAAACUCCUUUUGGAGGGGAAGAAUAAAUUGACGGUACCCUCAGAAAAAGCCACGGCUAACUACGUGCCAGCAGCCGCGGUAAUACGUAGGUGGCGAGCGUUACUCGGAAUUACUAGGCGUAAAGCGUAUGUAGGUGGUUAGAUAAGUCUAUGGUGAAAUUUCCUGGCUUAACUGGGAAGGGACAUAGAUACUAUCUGGCUUGAGUGUGGGAGGGGGAGACGGAAUUCCUGGUGUAGCGGUGAAAUGCGUAGAUAUCAGGAGGAACACCGAUGGCGAAAGCAGUCUCCUGGCCCAAUACUGACACUGAGGUACGAAAGCUAGGGUAGCAAACAGGAUUAGAAACCCCUGUAGUCC
rnacentral:rRNA from 1 species